UACGAAGGGGGCUAGCGUUGUUCGGAUUCAUUGGGCGUAAAGGGUGCGUAGGCGGCGCGGUAAGUCGGGUGUGAAAUCUCGGAGCUUAACUCCGAAACUGCAUUCGAUACUGCCGUGCUUGAGUACUGGAGAGGGAACUGGAAUUUACGGUGUAGCAGUGAAAUGCGUAGAUAUCGCUUGGAACGCCGAAGGUGAAAACAGGUUGCUGGGGUUGUGCCGACGCUGAGACACGAAAGCCAGGGGAGCAAACGGG
rnacentral:rRNA from 1 species